AUUGAACGCUGGCGGAAUGCUUUACACAUGCAAGUCGAACGGCAGCACGGGGGCAACCCUGGUGGCGAGUGGCGAACGGGUGAGUAAUACAUCGGAACGUGCCCAGUCGUGGGGGAUAACGUAGCGAAAGUUACGCUAAUACCGCAUACGAUCUACGGAUGAAAGCGGGGGAUCGCAAAACCUCGCGCGAUUGGAGCGGCCGAUGUCAGAUUAGGUAGUUGGUGGGGUAAGGCCUACCAAGCCGACGAUCUGUAGCUGGGCUGAGAGGACGACCAGCCACACUGGGACUGAGACACGGCCCAGACUCCUACGGGAGGCAGCAGUGGGGAAUUGUGGACAAUGGGCGCAAGCCUGAUCCAGCCAUUCCGCGUGCAGGAUGAAGGCCUUCGGGUUGUAAACUGCUUUUGUACGGAGCGAAAAGGCUCUCUCUAAUACCUGGGGUCCAUGACGGUACCGUAAGAAUAAGCACCGGCUAACUACGUGCCAGCCGCCGCGGUAACAC
rnacentral:rRNA from 1 species